rnacentral:lncRNA from 1 species
AAUUGAGCUCUUCCCCUGCGACUAAGAAGUUAACUGUCAAGGCAAAAAAUUUGGUUUCUACCACAGAUCUUUGCCAGUUAGAAGCAUGAUGUCUUAAUUUGUUUCUUAAAAAGGUUUUUUUUUUCUUAUUUUGGCUAAUUGAGAUGAACUGUAUCAACUUUAUUUGGAUUAUAUUGAAGAUCAUAAUCAAGCUGAAGAAUCCGAUUUUUGCAACGGGUCCUAACCAAUUAGAUGCGGUAAGUUAUAAUUCUUUUUUUUGCCUAAAAACUGAUAUUAU